ACGGGAACCAUGUGACGCGGCAUAGGCACGGGGCUAUGGACGGGAAGAUGAAACGCUGUCGGAGGAGGAGGAAGAGGAGGGUAGACCUGCAGCAUCCCAGGGGGCGGAGGAGGAGGGAUCAUCAUCCUGUGAUUUUGUUGCUGCUGCAGAGGCGUAGAGCGAGUAGGCACAAAUUCCGGCGCCUGUGCGUUGAGUCGACUGGAUGACAAGUUCCACGACAGGUGUGGAUCUGAAGAUGAAGAAGAAGAGGAUGAUUGGGGUGAAUCUAGGGUUUCCAACUGGGCCAUUACUUGGGGAUACACAGAAUUUAGUUAUUUUGUUCUUUUUAUUAUUAUUAUUUGAGCUUAGAAAAGGAUAUAUGGCUGAGUGAUCUCAAUGUGACUAUGUAGAGGGUUUGCUGCCCGUAGGGACUGAAGGCCCCGAGAAGGGCGAGGAAAGAAGACAAUGGAGAGGAUUUCUCGCCGUCCGCUAAACCAUCUUUGCGCCCCAUUUACACUCGUCCACUUUUCUUUUUUGGUGAUGUGUCGUUCUCUCUUUUUA
rnacentral:lncRNA from 1 species